UUCCCUAUGGCAAAAAUCUCUUUCAGUGGGAGCAGAAAGUGAGCAUUAUUCAGUGUUGGGAAAAAUAUACACACUAUAAUUGGAUUGCUUCCUCAAAAUCUAAGCUUUGCCCUGUAGUCCCCAGGGUUCACAGUGUGGAGAAUGGAAAUGUUACGCUGUCCGUUCUCCUGCAGAUUCCAGGCUCCUAAGGAUAGAAAAUGGCUUGCUGAAAACAUGGAACUCCACAGUAGAGUAAUCCCUAUUAACCAAAAAUAUCUUGGCUGAGCCAUAAAAAGUACAUGUAGCUGAGUGGAAUUAAAAGCAAAAUGAUAAACAUUUAUUAAAACUCCAGCUAUGAGAGUGGGGGAAAGUUUACAGACUCUUACUCUCUCCUUGGUCUCCUGGCUCAGGACAGAACGAAAACACCCUAGAAUAUGCUUUGCCAGUGGCACACAAGAGUACUAAAGAAAGGGGGAAGCGGGGGAGCCAUAGGAUUCACUAUCUUUGCCUCCCCUAAAGAGAGUGACACUUCAUUCUCUUUGCCUGCUCCAGGUUGGCCAAUUAGCUUACUGUGGAUCUCUCUGCUGCUGUAGCACUGUUGAAGGUUGAGUAUGAUGGGCAGCCCCUCCUCUCUGCUGCUGCCUGAUUGCUUAUAUUUUCAUUCAUGGUAUUUCUAUUGUAAGCUUAUAUACUUGUUAAUAUCCAAUAAUACGGCCUCUGAAUACAAGUAUUGCCUGAAUGUUGGGGUGUUUGCCCAUCCCUAACUAAUUUUUUUUUUUUAGCAGUCCCAGCAGUUACAGCCUUUGGAUCCAGCCAGUAGUGGAGCUGUAUCUCCUAGGAGAUACUCUAACACUUUUUAAAAAAUACUACUGUAGACAGGGUACCAUUGGCAUUUUAUGGUGUGGUUGUGCUGUCCUAGCAGGGCUUUAUGGCAAAGGGCUGAUGGAACUCAACAGGGAUGUCAUGCAGGAGAACUACCAGAAUCUCGUCUCACUAGGUUUUCCAAUUCCUAAAUGUGACAUGGCCUCUCAAAUGGAAAAAGGC